rnacentral:rRNA from 1 species
AUUAAACGCUGGCGGCAUGCCUUACACAUGCAAGUCGAACGGCAGCACGGGGGCAACCCUGGUGGCGAGUGGCGAACGGGUGAGUAAAGCAUCGGAACGUGCCCUGGAGUGGGGGAUAACGUAGCGAAAGUUACGCUAAUACCGCAUAUUCUGUGAGCAGGAAAGCAGGGGAUCGCAAGACCUUGCGCUCUGGGAGCGGCCGAUGUCGGAUUAGCUAGUUGGUGGGGUAAAGGCCUUACCAAGGCGACGAUCCGUAGCGGGUCUGAGAGGAUGAUCCGCCACACUGGGACUGAGACACGGCCCAGACUCCUACGGGAGGCAGCAGUGGGGAAUUUUGGAC